rnacentral:misc_RNA from 1 species
GUCCGAUAAAAGCACCGCAUAAUACGUAUAACAAAAAAUCCAUAACAUUCGGGUAUGUACGUACGUACGUACGUACGUCUAGGGGUAUCUAUUUUUUGGCCGAAAGUCACGCGAUUUAUUUAUUCGAAAGGAAUUCGUUGCCCAUCGCUACCGCAUGCGUUUCCAUGAAAUAAGGAGUGUUCGUUUACUGUUAGUUGGGUAAAUACAGUAACAUCUUGGACGAUCAUAUAAAUGAAUGGAAAAUCUCACGAACAGAGAAAAUAUACGGAGUGGGCACGUGAAUACAUCGAGUCAUAUCUUAUGAUAUCUGCAGUUGUCGAAGAAUCGCAAGACAUGGAAAAAAGAUUCAUUCAAUUAUUUAUUCGUUUGUGUACCUUGUUGUUCGUUCAUUCGUCCAUGUGAUUAUUUGCUUCGAAUGAACGAACGUGAAGAAAAUCAAGACAUGGACGUGCAAUCUCAUGCGGACAUGUUUUUCAAAAGUAGGACGAAAGUGAACCUUUCCAGGUUACGCUGUAAUUAUGAUUCGUGAAUAUAAAACUGUCCCUCACUUGACUUUUCCGUGUCAUCGCCAUCUGUGUCCGCGACGAGUGGGAUUGGUAAAUUCACACCACUGAGGUAGGAAAGAAAGUUAAACGCGAUUACAACGCACAGAUGCGAAUAUGUGUUGCCCCGCUAAUAAGAAAGAGGAAAUGUGAA